CUCAUGCAAAGGUGCCGGGGCUCCCGCGAGGCUGCUUGGCGGAGGCGCCGGGCUCCACCGCGGCUGCGAUCCUGACACCGAAGCUAACUCGGAGUCCCAGGACGAGUCCGAGCCGCGGUUGGAAGAGCCGGCCCGGCUCUGCAGGGAGGCGGCGGGGUCGACUGCUCACUGUGAAGCUACCUCCAUGCGACCCUCCCCUUCCCGCCCCUUCCCCUCCCCCCACCAGCCCGAUCUGGGUUCUUGGGCGCUUAUUGUUUUAAUGAAAUUUUUGGUUGUUGUUGUUUUGGUUCUUGAAUGUGAUUUUAGCAGCGAAUAACGUGUCCUCACUCCUCUCGGGCUCCCUCGGAGGGUUUUCAGAGAGGUCUCAGUGCAUCCAUUUUCUCAGAUCCUCUCCUUCUUUCAGGGGAAGGAUCUGGGGGCCCUGCAGGCGCCUCGGCGCGCGAAAGCGGCGGCUCGGGUUCUCGGAGGGGUCUGCGCGGCGGCCGAGGGAGCUCCCGGGUGGCGGCGGCGGCGGCGGCGGCGGCGGUUCUCCUGGGCUGGACGCCGUGAGGGGGAGGAAGCGGAUUUUCCCAGCAAGAUCUCCAUGUACAGCUACAUCUUUAGGGCUGCUCGGGUUAAUAUAUGUCGUCAGAGGCUCCUCACGCCAAUCCCGGGGCGGCAGGGGCGGUGCCUCUCGCUCUCCGCAAUAAAACUUUUUGAUGUUCUCGUCGCUAAUUGUCGAAGUCCUCUUCCAGGAUUGGCUGCCCCUUCAUAACCAUGAGAUAAUUAAAACGGGGGGGGGGGAGGGUUAAAAAAAACUUUUUUUAUCAGCCAGAGGUUAAUGCAAGUGUUUAGCAGAUGCUUUACUAUUAAAUUAUUUUUCCCCCCAAGUCUCAAAUCUUGAAGAAUCUCAAACCAGGGACACCAGCCCCGGAGACGACCUUGGGCGAUUUCAAAGCGCAGGCACCUCGAUUCCCCGAAUUUGUGGUGUGGCCGGUAUCGGUGUUCCCCUGGUUUAACUAGCCUGUUUGAAGGUGCAGAUCAUUCUCGGGGAAGUACAACUGAAACCAGUCCUCCCCUGCCCUCUGGGGGUCUUCGUUUUCCCAGCCUACAUCUGCUCCUGACUCCAGAAAGACAGACUUCAGAUUGGCCAAGGCCCAGUUUAAAUGCCGCCUCCUCCAGGAAGCCUUUCCAGCCUCCUGGAGACCCAGCCCGAAGGUGAUGGGCCGGGUGGCGACGGAGGGCACCACUUGCCUCAGUGACCCGAGCCAAGCGCAACCGCGGCUCCGCGGGGAUCGCAAGGGCCUCAGGCCUCGCAGGACCCUGGGCAUGGGAGAGUGAGAUGCGGGCUUGUGGCGGCCGCCCAGGAAGGUUGGGGGGCAAGGGGCGCGGCCAGAGCCGCCACCCUGGAUUUUGGCCGCCGGCCCUCCGGCCACUGCGUUGGCUGCUGGGCCGCCUCCUCCACCCUGGUUAAGUUAUCCUUUUGAUCCCCAUUCCCCCCCUCUCGGUGCCCGCCACCAAGGAGGCCGGUUUCCCGCAGCUCAGGCCCCGGGGAAGUCAUCGCUCCGGGGCGGGUUGGACCCCCAGCAUCCCCGGCUGGUCUCUGACGGCUUUUCGCCCGAUGCGGGCAGGAAGGGGUUAACCGCGCCCUUCUCCCCCCCCCCCCCCCCCCCCCCCCCCCGCCAACCCGAUCCCGAGCCCUCGGCAGCGGGCGAAGGCCGCCGCUUCCCUCCUGAGGUCUCAUUAGGGAAACCCUCACCGCUAUUUUCAACAUUUCCUCAAUCAAGUGCCUUUAAAUAGAGCUGCACAAACAAAUUGGCGGCAAAAGCGUAGAUCUUGUCACGAUUGAGACCAAUCCAAUAUUUCAGCCUUGUUUGCUUUGCAAUUACGGGUUGGCUUGCGGCUGCGGUGCCACCGGGGCAAAUCUGCAGCCGCCCGCUUUCUCCUCUGCACCCUCGGCGGGUGGAGGAAGCGACCCGCAGAGCCACUGGAGGGAGGAAGCGGGGUGGCGCUGGAGGAGGUGACGCGAGGGAGAGGCGGGCGGCGGAGCCCUUCCUAAACCCGCGUGCAAAGGGCGCGAGCAAUGGUAAGGGAGACGGAUUUCUCAGGUUCCCGGCCGAGCCACUGAGAUACGUGCCGUAAUAAUAAAACGUGCAGUGCACAUGCCGACAACGAUGUUGUGUCCUUAUCCAGCUCCUUUUCUCCUCCCUUCCCUUUCCUCCCACUUCUAUCUCCAUUACAUUUUUCUUCAGUAUUUGUUAGCGGGUACUGGUUUCCCCUUCUUUCUCGCUGUUGAACUGCUAGCAUGAUUUGUUAUGUUUUCCAUAGCUGCUGCUUCUUGUUUGACUUUUUGUACAAAGUCGCUUUAAAUCGGCCGCAGGAAGACUAAAGCUCCAAGCCCUUUGGAUGGGCUCCUGCAGGCGUGUGCAGGGCCCCCUGCCCUCCCUGCCUUCUUGCGGGAUGGCUCUUCUGUGUACGUGGGCCGCUGGGUGCGUUCGGUCACCGCGCAGGCCAGCCUAGUUUGUAUCAGCGGAAUAGUAGUUAACUCAGAUCAGGUCCUAAGCCUUGUAUUUCACAGACAAUUAAGUCUCGGCUGCUGUUUAACAAAAUUGUAAUAUUUACUCUGCUCUGUACUGCGGAGCACUUUUAAAGUCAAAAACAAAUACAUUUCACAAAGAAAAUAUGAUAAUAAAUCUCUUUUUAUGGAUUUUCUCUGCAUAAGUGGAAACAACGUGAUUUAAAUCCCCACGCCCUGGCCCCCCUUCUGAGGCACAGCUGAGGUUAUACAGAUACUGUCUUUUAACUCACAUUCUUCACCGUCUGGGGGCAGGCACCUGCAUUUGUUACAUUCAGUUUAGUUUCUAAGAUUCCACAUAACCCGCAUUGGCAAACGCAGCAAGUAUUUUGGAAUAAUUAGGUCUGGGAUGUGAAUGCUAUUUUCACCAUGAUUCAAGAAAGGUGGACAUGACUUGGGUCAUUAUUUUAUGAUUUCAUAUUACCUUAUAAAUGUCUACCCAUUUUCCUCUCAUGUUGACUUCUGAAGGAGGUGGGAAAGUUGAGGCAGAGAAAUAUUUUUAUGAGACUCUGGGGAUACAUAUUAAAAUAUACUUCUUUAUUUUUUAAAAAUGUGUAAGGUGUGGAUGGACUUAACAUUUGUUUGCUGGUGGUCAUAAAAUAAAUUCAUAGGUGUUCUAGUCAA